GACGAACGCUGGCGGCGUGCUUAACACAUGCAAGUCGAACGGAAAGGCCCUGCUUUUGUGGGGUGCUCGAGUGGCGAACGGGUGAGUAACACGUGAGUAACCUGCCCUUGACUUUGGGAUAACUUCAGGAAACUGGGGCUAAUACCGGAUAGGAGCUCCUGCUGCAUGGUGGGGGUUGGAAAGUUUCGGCGUUUGGGGAUGGACUCGCGGCUUAUCAGCUUGUUGGUGGGGUAGUGGCUUACCAAGGCUUUGACGGGUAGCCGGCCUGAGAGGGUGACCGGCCACAUUGGGACUGCGAUACGGCCCAGACUCCUACGGGAGGCAGCAGUGGGGAAUAUUGCACAAUGGGCGGAAGCCUGAUGCAGCAACGCCGCGUGCGGGAUGACGGCCUUCGGGUUGUAAACCGCUUUCGCCUGUGACGAAGCGUGAGUGACGGUAAUGGGUAAAGAAGCACCGGCUAACUACGUG
rnacentral:rRNA from 1 species